GGGUUAAGUCCCGCAACGAGCGCAACCCUUGUCAUUAGUUGCUACGAAAGGGCACUCUAAUGAGACUGCCGGUGACAAACCGGAGGAAGGUGGGGAUGACGUCAGGUCCUCAUGGCCCUUAUGAGUAGGGCUACACACGUCAUACAAUGGCCGGUACAGAGGGCUGCCAACCCGCGAGGGGGAGCUAAUCACAGAAAACGGGCNNNAGUCCGGAUGGNAGUCUGCAACUCGACUGCGUGAAGUCGGAAUCGCUANUAUUCGCGGAUCAGCUUGCCGCGGUGAAUACGUUCCCGGGUCUUGUACACACCGCCCGUCACACCAUGGGAGCGGGUUCUGCCAGAAGUAGUUAGCCUAACCGCAAGGAGGGCGAUUACCACGGCAGGGUUCGUGACUGGGGUGAAGUCGUAACAAGGUAGCCGUAUCGGAAGGUGCGGCUGGAUCACCUCCUUU
rnacentral:rRNA from 1 species